GACGAACGCUGGCGGCGUGCUUAACACAUGCAAGUCGAGCGAACGGACCCUGCGUUUGUUGGUUGCUCGAUUGGCGAACGGGUGAGUGACACAUGAGUAACCUUCCCUUGUCUUUCUGGUAACUUCAGGGAACUCGGGCUAAUACCGCGUAGAAUCUCCUGCUGCGUGGGGUGCGUAGGUGAGUGUCGGCGGUGGUGGAUGUACUGGCGGCUUAUGAGCUGGUUGGUGGAGUAGGUGCGUACCAAGGCUUUGACGGGUAGCCGGCCUGAGAGGGUGAACGGCCACCUUGGGACUGCGAUACGCAGCAGAAUCGUACGGGAGGCAGUAGUCGGGAACAUUGCACAAUGGGCGGAAGCGUGAUGUAGCAACGCCGCGUGCGGGAUGCUGGGUUUCGGGUUGUAAACCGAUUUCGCCUGUGAUGAAGAGUGCGUGACGGUACUGGGUAAAGAAGCCCCGGCUAACUACGUG
rnacentral:rRNA from 1 species